UACGUAGGGGGGCAAGCGUUGUCCGGAUUUAUUGGGCGUAAAGAGCGUGUAGGCGGCCAGGUAGGUCAGCUGUGAAAACUCGAGGCUCAACCUCGAGACGUCGAUGGAAACCGCACGGGCUAGAGUCCGGAAGAGGAGAGUGGAAUUCCUGGUGUAGCGGUGAAAUGCGCAGAUAUCAGGAAGAACACCAGUGGCGAAGGCGGCUCACU
rnacentral:rRNA from 1 species